rnacentral:rRNA from 1 species
CUACGGGGGGCACCAGUGAGGAAUAUUGCACAAUGGGGGGAACCCUGAUGCAGCAACGCCGCGUGGAGGAUGACGCAUUUCGGUGUGUAAACUCCUUUUAUAUGUCAAGAAAAUGACGGUAGCAUAUGAAUAAGCGCCGGCUAACUCCGUGCCAGCAGCCGCGGUAAUACGGAGGGCGCAAGCGUUACUCGGAAUCACUGGGCGUAAAGGACGCGUAGGCGGGUUGAAAAGUCAGGUGUGAAAGUCUACAGCUUAACUGUAGAACUGCACUUGAAACUCUCAACCUAGAGUAUGGGAGGGGCAGAUGGAAUUAGUGGUGUAGGGGUAAAAUCCGUAGAUAUCACUAGGAAUACCUAAAGCGAAGGCGAUCUGCUGGAACAUUACUGACGCUAAGGCGUGAAAGCGUGGGGAGCAAACAGGAUUAGAUACCCGUGUAGUC